ensembl:lncRNA
GAAACCCUUACCAAGGAACUCCUUCUUUACCUCCUGUGUAACAGAGGAGACUGGAACGCUCUGUUUUAUUUCCUGAUGCUCAGUUUUAAAAAUAGCAUUCUGUUCUCUUUUUCAUGGAUGCGGUAUUUUUUAUUUUACUUCUGAUAGUAAUAUUUUGAACAUUUCUUCUCCCUGCUUUGGUGACUUUUAUUUCUUCUGAGGUGACUUAUCCAUUUACUUGUUUGUUUUGAUCCGUAUCUUUCAAGGUAGACAUCAUAUUCUUCUGAGAAAGCUCUUCUGAUCGCCUGACAAGCUAUUUUUAAGCCCGACUUUCCACCUUUGUGAAGUACAAGGGCAAGAAUGUUGCCAUUUCCUUCUCCAGAGGAGCUUCCUGACCCAGGGAUCAAACCUGCAUCUCCAGCCCUGGCAGACUAGCAACACCAUGUCUAAGGAGCCAUGGCUG